CCUUGACGCUCCAACCAUGAAUAACAUAUAUUUUGUGGUUUUCCUGAUUGCUGCCAUCCAAGUCACAGGCAAUGAAGCGUGGAAAAAUUCUUAUGAUGCACCACUAAAUUUUAAGUGUCCCACAGGACACUCAAUUUCUGAGAUUACCAGCCAACAUCACAAUGGUUAUGAAGAUCGCCGCUGGGAUUUAAGGUGCAAGAGAAGUCCUGCCUCCACUUCGUGUUUCUGGACUGGUUAUGUCAAUGGAUUUGAUCAUCCAUUCCACUUCAGCUGUCCAGAUAAUCACAUUAUUUCAGGAAUGUCAAGCUAUCAUCAAAACCGGCAAGAAGAUCGAAGAUGGAAAUUCUACUGCUGCAGAGUAAACAACUACUACAACCAUUACUGCUACUGGACACCCUACGUGAACACCUUUGAUGAGCGAUUCACUUGGUAUGUUCCACACCAUAACAACCUGGUUGGAGUUGGAAGCUACCAUAAUAAUAGGGCUGAAGAUCGUCGAUGGCGGUUUAGGUACUGUGCAAGAACUUGUUGAAUCCUUUUGAUUAAAGGGAUCGAACGAAAAGAAGAAAUUACACGAAUCAUAGAAAAAUAUAUAGUUUCAAUUGUAUCAUAUAUGGUCUUAAUUCAAAA